rnacentral:miRNA from 1 species
CUUUGGGAUGUCACUGUGUCU